CUCCUAACCUCAGAUUAUCCACCCGCCUCGGCCUCCCAAAGUGCUGGGAUUAUAGGCGUGAGCCACUGCACCCAGCUUCUUCAACAAUUACUAAGUGAACACCUCUUCCCUGCCAGAAACCAUUCUGAGUACUGAAAUGUAAUGAAUAAAUCACGCCAAAAUCCCUGCCCUCAAGGAGUUUAUGUUGCAAAGAUUUCAAAAGGCAUACAAUGAAAUGAACCAAUUUUGUGUAUGUUAAUGUCUUUCAGUCUUAUUUGACUUUGAACUUCUUUUUCUGUGAACACCCCCAAAAACAAUAUUCAAAGGAAUACCAUUAUGGAAACACAGUUUGUUUCCAUCUUUCUAAAUUAAAGGUUAUUUCUUGCCUUUUAAGUACUUUUUGCCUCUUAAGGAUGUUUUUCUCCAGUUUGUCCCAUAAAUUUUGAAAUACUUUUCUUGUGUAUAUGUAGGAGAAAAUAUAUAUAUUCCUAUUUCUUUAAAUAUUUGCGUAUUUAUAUGUGUAAUAAAUGCAUACAUAUGAAUACGUAUAUAUACACGUGCAAUAUAUGAUAUAUAUUUAGGUACAGUACAAAUACGAGGUUUUGCAUUUUACUGUGUGCAUUAUGCAUCCUUUAAUGCCAUCUCAUCUAACAUUUUCUCUGUGGUGUCUUUCUUGACUACUUGUAGUAUAAUUAAUCUCAUUUAUAUUUAUGCUCCAGUAACACAAUGUGUGCACUUCUAUUUACAAUACUUGCUAUAUUUGUAAUUAUUUAUUCCCUAUUUUCCAACCUAGAAUAAAUUCUUCAGUGUCACAGAGGGACCAAGGUCACAUCUUUGUAUUGCUGUGAUCUUAAAGCCUGGCCUGUAGUAGGUGCUUGAUGAGUAUUUGUUGAAUUGAGUUCAAUAAAUAUCAUGAAAAUUAAUUUUCAGGUUUAUGAUUUUGAUGUUCUUAAUUUAGACUGUAGCUUUAUAAGCUUUAUAAUCAUACUAAAGAUGUUUUACGUUUUUCCUGUAGGUUACAGUGUACAGCAUGUAUGUUUCUAUAAUGGCUUUCAAUGCAAAGGUUAGUGAUCCACUUAUUGGAGGAACAUACAUGACCCUUUUAAAUACCGUGUCCAAUCUGGGAGGAAACUGGCCUUCUACAGUAGCUCUUUGGCUUGUAGAUCCCCUCACAGUAAAAGAGUGUGUAGGAGCAUCAAACCAGAAUUGUCGAACACCUGAUGCUGUUGAGCUUUGCAAAAAACUGGGUGGCUCAUGUGUUACAGCCCUGGAUGGUUAUUAUGUGGAGUCCAUUAUUUGUGUUUUCAUUGGAUUUGGUUGGUGGUUCUUUCUUGGUCCAAAAUUUAAAAAGUUACAGGAUGAAGGAUCAACUUCAUGGAAAUGCAAAAGGAGCAAUUAAUAUAUACACUACUGGACAUUCUAGAAAGGUAAUUGUAGUUUAGUUUUAAUUCGGAGAGCAAUGAUAAUCAGUGCACAGGAAUAUAAAAUACUAUUUUAAACAGCGAAAUUAAUAAUAUAAAAUGCCAAAUGGUUGAAAAAAUAGAAACCUCUCUGUAUAUUUGAUCAUAAUUUUUCUUUGCCUUGUCCAUGUGUUUAAAGUUUACUUAAGGUCAGGAAAUUCUAAAACUUUUCUGGCCUCGUUAUUUGAUUUAUAUCUUUUAAAUGUACUGACCAAAGCAUGUUUUAAGCUGCAAUGCAGUAGUCAUGGGUGGUAACCAUGUAGUUAAGUAUAGUUAUUAGUACCUAUCACUGCUGGAUCUGUAUUUAAAAUUGUGGUACAAUAUAUAAAAUGGAGAAGAACUUGAUAUUCAGGUACUAACCACAACUAGUCUGACAUUGUUGGCAGUUAAAAUGUUAUUUUGAAUUGUAAAUUAGUUAAAUUUUAUGUGGAAUUUGCUGAGAAGAGAAUAUAGACUACUGAAAUGUCAUUUUAGUUAUUUUUCUUAUGACCAUAUUGUACAAAUGAAUCUGUGUUAAAAAGACUAUUUUAAAUGUAUUUCCUGCUUUUGUAAGCAUUAAAGAUUUAUAAGAAAAUUAUUCAAACUAUUUUUUAUAAAAUGAAAGUUAUGAUUUUUAAACUUAUUGAUUACUCUUGUCCCUACCCCCUCUUUUUGGAAGAUAUUUUGAUUCCUUAUAAGCUUUUACCCUAAGCUUACAUAUAUUUUCUGUCACAAGUGCUUCAUGGCACACAGACAGCCAAUGGAGGGGAUCAAAUUCAGUGUUGGAUGUAUGUUUAUGGCAACAUUUUGAAAAUAAAAAUUAAAUGUUAUUCUUCAA